rnacentral:sRNA from 12 species
UGACCAUAUUUGCCAAUGCAAAUACAAUCGGCCGGACGGACAGCCAGGUCAAAUGCCGA